UACGGGGGGAGCAAGCGUUGUUCGGAUUUACUGGGCGUAAAGGGCGCGUAGGCGGUCAGCACAAGUCAGUUGUGAAAUCUCCGGGUUUAACUCGGAAAGGUCAACUGAUACUGUGCGACUAGAGUGCGGAAGGGGCAACUGGAAUUCUCGGUGUAGCGGUGAAAUGCGUAGAUAUCAGGAGGAACACCAGUGGCGAAGGCGGCUCACUGGCCCGUUACCGACGCUCAGGCGCGACAGCGUGGGGAGCAAACAGG
rnacentral:rRNA from 1 species